rnacentral:rRNA from 1 species
UACGUAGGGGGCUAGCGUUGUCCGGAAUCAUUGGGCGUAAAGAGCGCGUAGGCGGCCAGAUAAGUCCGGUGUGAAAGUCAAAGGCUCAACCUUUGAAUGCCGCUGGAAACUGUCUGGCUAGAGUCCGGGAGGGGCGAGUGGAAUUCCUGGUGUAGCGGUGGAAUGCGCAGAUAUCAGGAGGAACACCGAGUGGCGAAGGCAGGUCUCUGGGCCACUACUGACGCUGAGAAGCGGAAAGCAUGGGGAGCGAACAGG